UACGUAGGUGGCAAGCGUUGUCCGGAUUUAUUGGGUUUAAAGGGGUGCGUAGGCGGUCUUAUAAGUCAGUGGUGAAAUACGGCAGCUCAACUGUCGAGGUGCCAUUGAUACUGUAGGACUUGAGUACAGACGAGGUAGGCGGAAUUGACGGUGUAGCGGUGAAAUGCUUAGAUAUCGUCAAGAACACCGAUAGCGAAGGCAGCUUACUGGGCUGUAACUGACGCUGAUGCACGAAAGUGUGGGGAUCAAACAGG
rnacentral:rRNA from 1 species